rnacentral:rRNA from 1 species
GCCAGACUCCUACGGGAGGCAGCAGUGAGGAAUAUUGGUCAAUGGACGAGAGUCUGAACCAGCCAAGUAGCGUGAAGGAUGACUGCCCUAUGGGUUGUAAACUUCUUUUAUAUGGGAAUAAAACAGGGUAUGCAUACCCUCUUGUAUGUACCAUAUGAAUAAGCAUCGGCUAACUCCGUGCCAGCAGCCGCGGUAAUACGGAGGAUGCGAGCGUUAUCCGGAUUUAUUGGGUUUAAAGGGUGCGUAGGCGGUUUUUUAAGUUAGUGGUUAAACGUCGGGGCUUCACCUUGAUUUGCCAUUAAUACUGUAAGACUCGAGUUCAGACGAGGUAGGCGGAAUAAGUUAAGUAGCGGUGAAAUGCUUAGAUAUAACUUAGAACUCCGAUAGCGAAGGCAGCUUACCAGACUGCGACUGACGCUGAAGCACGAGAGCGUGGGUAGCGAACAGGAUUAGAUACCCUAGUAUGC